rnacentral:misc_RNA from 1 species
UUGCUAUGUUUGCAUUAUCAUAGGUUAUUGUGAAGGAGGAGACAUGGCAGAAGCCAUAAAGAAAGCUAAUGGAGUGCUUUUCCCAGAAGAGAAGCUCUGUAAGUGGCUUGUGCAACUUCUAAUGGCACUUGACUACUUGCAUAUGAAUCAUAUUCUUCAUCGUGAUGUCAAGUGUUCAAAUAUCUUUUUGACAAAAGAACAAGACAUUCGUCUUGGUGAUUUUGGACUUGCCAAAAUAUUGACUUCAGAUGACUUUACUUCCUCUGUUGUGGGGACUCCAAGUUACAUGUGUCCUGAACUUCUCACUGAUAUACCUUAUGGUUCAAAAU